UGUUGGAGCAGAGGACAGUUUGGAGAAGUGCUGUGGUGGGCUAAGAAGUCCUAGACCCUAGGAUUCAUAGGUCACAGAGCUUUCUGCACUUCUCCAGCUGUCAUCUCCAAUCUCAUCACUUAUGAGAAAUUCAUUCAGCUUCUGUACGCUUU